rnacentral:misc_RNA from 1 species
GGCCACCACACGUCUGAACCUGCUCCUUCUCUCUUCUUGGCUGCGAUUUUCCGGCUUCAAUCACUCGCCGGGACUCACUUUCUACGGAAAAAACUUAUUAAGAAGUAGUAAUGGACUUUAUAUUAAGAGGAAUGAAUGAUGAGGCAUCUGGGUGCUACUCUAAUGAUAUGGACAUCCAGAGAUGCCCGUUCCUCAGGAAUAUCAAUAAACCAACCUGCUUUUCCUUCUCCACCUUGAAUAUCACCUUCCCGGUUCGGGGAGCGAAAGGGCCAAUUUUUGAGGAGGGUCCUAAUUUUGACACAGCAUUUAAGCUCUUUCAUGGUAAAGAUGGGGUUGUCCCACUAUCUGAGAGAUCCGGCUUUGAGAAAAUAUCGUUAGAAGCAGAGAUGGCUCCUCAUUUCAACCCCUUGGCUGCAAAAGCUGCAACCAUCAGUCUGUCAGCUUUUGGACCAGGAGGGCCAUUCAGCUUCGGUAACUUCUCUGAGAAAUGGAAGAAACAAAAGUCUGAGGCAUCCAACAAGAAAGAUCAUUUGUCACAGAAAAAAGGAAGUUCAUCCAAGCACGAGGCUCUGGGAAGUGACUGGUUGGAAACAGGAAACUGCCCAAUUGCGAAGUCUUUUAGAGCUGUUAGCGGAGUCCUCCCACUUGUUGCAACAGCUUUUCAGCUACCACCUGGCAUGAAGCUUAAGUGCCCGCCCGCAAUAGUUGCUGCCCGUGCUGCCCUAGCUCGUACAGCAUUUGUAAAAAAUCUGCGUCCUCAGCCACUUCCUUCAAAAAUGCUUGUCAUUGCGGCCUUAGGCAUGGCGGCAAACGUUCCUCUUGGUAUAUGGAGAGAGCACACUAAGAAAUUUUCGUUUUCAUGGUUUGUAGCAAUUCAUGCAGCUGUACCCUUUAUUGCCAUGCUUCGGAAAUCUGUCUUGAUGCCAAAGACAGCCAUGGCAAUGACCAUUGCUGCUUCUGUACUAGGGCAGGUUAUCGGCUCAAGGGCUGAACGUAUGCGACUGAAAGCUAUUGCUGAAAAGGGAAAGGCAACAACAAUUAUGCCAACACUAGAGUCUACUCCAAGCUAUGAGUUAACCCAGGUCGAUGCCAUAGUAGGUGGUCGUUGUGGUGUAGAAAGAAUGGUGUUUGAUCCUCUCCAGAAGAAUGGUAGGCAAACGUCUUCCCCAGCGAA